rnacentral:misc_RNA from 1 species
UUAGUUGUCACUUCUUUUUGUGAUAGAAUCUAAAUUUUUAUGCUUCUCACUCAUGCAAUCUCCGGAUUAUGUUAAAUGAUUUGCUUUGAAGAACUUGCAGAGUUCCUAUGUGUUCCAUGAAAUUUCUUAAAAAUUAAUGAUGCAUGUUUUCUUGUCAUUUCCAUUUCAAGAUUAUGGCAAUUUUGGUGAAUGCUGAUCCAAAAUUUUAUGCAACAGGGCACAAGUGGUAGGA